rnacentral:rRNA from 1 species
GACAGAGGGGGCAAGCGUUGCUCGGAAUUACUGGGCGUAAAGGGCGCGUAGGCGGGAUGGCAAGUCGGUCGUGAAAUCCCUCGGCUCAACCGAGGAACGUCGAUCGAUACUGCUGUUCUUGAGGAUUGCAGAGGAGACUGGAAUUCCCGGUGUAGCGGUGAAAUGUGUAGAGAUCGGGAGGAACGCCGGUGGCGAAGGCGGGUCUCUGGGCAAUUCCUGACGCUGAGGCGCGAAAGCGUGGGGAGCAAACGGG